GCUCUAAUCAACGUGGGAGUCUCUUGGAUGGGAUAAUGGAAAUUUUGUUUUCAGCCCAGAAAGCUUGGGCCGUUCCACCAAAACAGAUGGUGUCCGGGUCCCACCCUAUAUUUUCCUCAUCUCUUCGUCGGCCUCCCACUUUUCUUCCAGCCCGCCGCCGUCGCCAUUGAUGCCCGCGCGCCGUCCCCAAAAUCCCCCGUCCACACAUAGAUCGGCGCCCGACGCUCAGACGUCCGUCCCCGAUCUCCCCGCAUCCGUUCAGAUCUGCUCGUGCCGGCCUCCGUAGUGGCUUUAGCUUCCAGCUGGAUGCCGCGCGACCUGUCAAGGUCGCCGCCGCGCCGGCGCCGGCCGUCGCCAUCCCCGCUUCACCGCGGACCAGGCUACAGGGAGCGCGUGCCCAGCCGCAGCAGGUCCCCUUAUCGCCCCUCCUAUAGGUGAUCUCCCAUGUCACACGCGACCGCGAUCUGGCGCGCCUUUACUUUUUUAGCAUCUUCGCCGUGUCUGCGUGUCAUGUGUAUAUGCCCUGUACAAAGAGUAGGAAGAUUCUAGGGGAUGAUUAUUUUUCCACUUUAGUUGUUGUUAUUAUGUCGGGUGUAUUCUGAAUGCAAACUCGCCAAAUGGAAUGAUUCUUUUGGGUCUUCUCAUGGUUGUUUGGACCAGUGGAAGUUGGUCAGUAAGUGAUUCUUAGUUAGCUCAUGUGAAUAUGUGAUUGUUCUAUGAUGUAUGCAACAUUCACGCUGGUAAGGAGCAAGAUUACUAGAUAAUGGCAUUCCUGUUUUACAUCAAAUUUAAUAUGGAUUGUAUAAAAGUUGCUUGCCUAUGUUCACGGUACUACUCAGACCCUGUUUGGAAGAAGAAAAAUAAAUCUGAAACAAGGUUUAUCCAGGAACGGAAUAUCGGUAUCUAUUAAGAGGUGUUUGUAACCCUUUUCACCAUGCCAUGAGGUCAGACUGAGGGUGGAGAGCAAGGUAGUGUUGU
rnacentral:rRNA from 1 species